rnacentral:rRNA from 1 species
UCUUUUACUGUGAAACUGCGAAUGGCUCAUUAAAUCAGUUAUCGUUUAUUUGAUAGUACCCUACUACAUGGAUACCUGUGGUAAUUCUAGAGCUAAUACAUGCGCAAAACCCCGACUUCGGAAGGGGUGUAUUUAUUAGAUAAAAAACCAAUGCCCUUCGGGGCUCCUUGGUGAUUCAUAAUAACUUCACGAAUCGCAUGGCCUUGCGCCGGCGAUGGUUCAUUCAAAUUUCUGCCCUAUCAACUUUCGAUGGUAGGAUAGUGGCCUACCAUGGUGGCAACGGGUAACGGGGAAUUAGGGUUCGAUUCCGGAGAGGGAGCCUGAGAAACGGCUACCACAUCCAAGGAAGGCAGCAGGCGCGCAAAUUACCCAAUCCCGAUACGGGGAGGUAGUGACAAUAAAUACUGAUACAGGGCUCUUUUGGGUCUGUAAUUGGAAUGAGAACAAUCUAAAUCCCUUAACGAGGAACAAUUGGAGGGCAAGUCUGGUGCCAGCAGCCGCGGUUAUUCCAGCUCCAAUAGCGUAUAUUAAAGUUUGUUGCAGUUAAAAAGCUCGUAGUUGAACUUUGGGCCCGUCCUGCCGGUCCGCCUCACCGCGAGUACUGGUCCGGAUGGGCCUUUCUUUCUGGGGAAUCCCAUGGCUUUCACUGGCUGUGGCGGGGAACCAGGACUUUUACUGUGAAAAAAUUAGAGUGUUCAAAGCAGGCCUUUGCUCGGAUACAUUAGCAUGGAAUAAUAGAAUAGGACGUGCGGUUCUAUUUUGUUGGUUUCUAGUGACCGCCGUAAUGAUUAAUAGGGAUAGUCGGGGGCGUCAGUAUUCAGCUGUCAGAGGUGAAAUUCUUGGAUUUGCUGAAGACUAACUACUGCGAAAGCAUUCGCCAAGGAUGUUUUCAUUAAUCAGGGAACGAAAGUUAGGGGAUCGUAAGACGAUCAGAUACCGUCGUAGUCUUAACCAUAAACUAUGCCGACUAGGGUAUCGGGUCGGGGUUUCUAUGAUGACCCGUCUCGGCACCUUACGUAGAAAUCAAAGUUUUU